UGAGACAGUUCGGUCCCUAUCCGGCGCGGGCGUAGGAUAUUUGAGAGGAGCUGUCCUUAGUACGAGAGGACCGGGAUGGACGGACCGCUGGUGUAUCUGUUGGGUACCAAGCCCAUGGCAGAGUAGCCAAGUCUGGACGGGAUAAACGCUGAAGGCAUCUAAGCGUGAAGCCCCCCUCAAGAUGAGAUAUCCCAUCGCAUAAGCGAGUAAGACCCCUUGAAGACGACGAGGUAGAUAGGUUAGAGGUGGAAGUGCAGUAAUGUAUGGAGCUGACUAAUACUAAUCGGUCGAGGGCUUAACCA
rnacentral:rRNA from 2 species